AUCAUUACUAGUGACCCCGGUCUAACCACCGGGAUGUUCAUAACCCUUUGUUGUCCGACUCUGUUGCCUCCGGGGCGACCCUGCCUUCGGGCGGGGGCUCCGGGUGGACACUUCAAACUCUUGCGUAACUUUGCAGUCUGAGUAAACUUAAUUAAUAAAUUAAAACUUUUAACAACGGAUCUCUUGGUUUUGGCAUCGAUGAAGAACGCAGCGAAAUGCGAUAAGUAAUGUGAAUUGUAGAAUUCAGUGAAUCAUCGAAUCUUUGAACGCACAUUGCGCCCCCUGGUAUUCCGGGGGGCAUGCCUGUUCGAGCGUCAUUUCACCACUCAAGCCUCGCUUGGUAUUGGGCAACGCGGUCCGCCGCGUGCCUCAAAUCGACCGGCUGGGUCUUCUGUCCCCUAAGCGUUGUGGAAACUAUUCGCUAAAGGGUGUUCGGGAGGCUACGCCGUAAAACAACCCCAUUUCUAAGGUUGACCUCGGAUCAGGUAGGGAUACCCGCUGAACUUAAGCAUAUCAA
rnacentral:sRNA from 1 species